AGCUGGUCCCUGCAAACAUUUGGGAUCGGCCUAAGAGAGGCCGUCCAGGGCUCCUGAGAGAGUAGGCGCUGCUUAGUCUUAGCACUAUUCUCCAGGAAAGAAAGGGGGACAAACCCCUGGAAAACAUGAGUUCCCCUUCAACCCUCCUGAAAUCAUGUUGCUUUGGUUGCAGAAGGAGAAAUGUGCUGGCAUAGCCCCAUGUUCUGUCCCUGAGUAUGCCUGACAGCCUGCCCAACGACCAGAGCAAAGUCCUUGAGGAAGCUUCCUGCAUUACUGCCCAAGCCAGCUCCUGAAGACAUCUUCUCAGGGAAUGGAGGAAGCUGGUGCCAGAGUGGAAGACCGGACAGAACAAGAAUUCAUAAACGUCAUAAACUUGAAGAGGAGGAAAAGGUUGGAGCUAAUUCCUGACAUCAGUGAAUGGGCCCAUAAAGGAAGAAAGACGAAGUUUGCCGCAGGCAGGCAAGGUUGAAUCCUUGACUGGAGUGCGAGAGUGGGUGCUUUCCCAGCCAGCCCUCCGCUAACGACCGCUGAAUGUCCCGCCCGAGCCGGCGCCGAGAGCCUGGUGCCCACACAGCGCCCGGCGCCCGUCUGGAGAUAGCCCUCAGCGGUGGGCAGCAGGAGGCUCCCCAAAACUGCGCCUUUUAGCAGCCAGUACUUAGCGGAUGGAGAGACAGCGCCAAGAGCCCACAAAGUAGACUCGGCCAGGGGCGGGGACCCCCACCGGAGCCUGCUCCCUCAGGCCUCAGGUUCGAAGCUGCUCUAGUGUGGGAGGGGAGGUUAGUUAGGAUUUGAGCGAUGGCACUUGAGCUAGGGAAGGAGUUCCUGAAACUCCCAGGGAAGUGUAGUCCCAGAGAUGGGGAAAUAACCAAGCCCACGGAAGGACUUUCCAAACUUGGUCUUUAACUUUGUGUCAUUUUUCCUGCCCGCCUCGACUCCGACUCCCAGCACUCUAACCCCAAACCCUAGGAAACAGCCCUAAGGACUAGAGUCCAGCCCUCUCAGCCCUUCCUCUCCACCCACCCCCUCCCCCCACGUUUCUAGACAGGGAAAAUACAAAUAACCCCCGGGUGGUUAAUGCAUGCAGGCGCAUCCAGGCGCCCCAUUCCCAAACACACACAAGGCGAUCACCACCCGCUGCAUCCCACCCACCUCCGGGGAGGGAGGGACUGGGAACCUGAUCUCCGGGCUCCAGCCGAAAGCUUCCCCAUCAAUAAUGUUGAUACCAUCGGUGUGCCUCUUCCCCCACCCCCGGGGCGCCGCUGCCGCCUUUUUGCCGCUUUUUGCUGGGCGAAGGAAAACGAAACCUCCUCUACUGCCCUUACCUAGCCUCGCGUUGGGGCCAGGGAGGGCUGGGCCCCCGGGGUUUUCGAAGCAGGGGUUCGGGCAGGGCGCUUAAGGGGGGUCCUCCCGUUCUAGGCUAGGGAACCCAAUCCGGGCAGACCGAACUGGAAAGAGGGGCUGGGGCCCAGGCAAGGCCUCAUUCCAGACCCGGGGUCAGAUUGGGCCUGAAUCAGUGAAUGCUGCGGGUGGAGGCGCCAGGCCCUAGAAUGGGCCUCCAAACCUCCGCUUUCCAGGAAUGGCGAUUGGACCGAGAAGCCAGCCGCAAAACCCAUGGCUGGGAACGCGAUUGUGGCCCCGAGGCCUUGGGUCCCAGCGCUCCAGUCCCGCCAACCCAGCGAGGACUCUAGACCUUGGAGAACCCGAGGGUUCAUUGAACUCCCAACUGAACUGCCCAGCGCCUCCCCCGGUGUGAUUCCUCUAGGUUCGCAAGGUCGCGACCCUGGAGCAGCUGCUGCCUGGCUUCGGGCCACCCCCAUUCCCCAUCCCAGGUCAGCCCCUAAGAACCAGGCCCUCUCAAGGAACCUGCAGGUCCCGAACCUCUGCAACCCGCUUCCCCCAGCAGCUGCCCCAUCCAGGACUGGGAGGGCGCGACCCCCUCGGGGCUCCAGGGGCGAGCUGGGCGGGGGAGGUCUCCAGCUGCAGCACCUCUCUCGAACUCCAACCUUAUGCCCACCCGCUCAAAAAUAAAAAAGGAACCCGCACUCUGUCUCCGUUUUUAUUGAUUUAAUUAUUUCUUUGCAUCCCAGCACGCCGAGCCUCGCCAGCUCCCUGACACCCGGGCGGCCGCAACAGCGAACCACGGAACGUGGGCCCAAGACAAUGGCCCGUAAUUGAUGUAUUGCCACCAACAAGGAAGACCAACUCUCCUCUCCCCGCCAUUCCAACCGCCCCCUUCCUCCCAUCCCCCUCUCCUCCAUCUCCCCUCUCCCCUCACCCGGCCACAGAGGGAAAGAAAACAAACAAGAAAUUAGUGGGGGAUGCCGCGCGCAGAGCGAGGCGCCUGCCUCUACACCGUCGAGGACGCAGAAGAACGAAAAAAGUUAUCAAAGUUUGGAUUCCCCCCAAUUAAUUCGUCUCUGCUCGCCCAUUUUUAGGCGAACAGCGCGAUGCA